AUUGAACGCUGGCGGCAUGCCUUACACAUGCAAGUCGAACGGCAGCACGGGUGCUUGCCCCUGGUGGCGAGUGGCGAACGGGUGAGUAAUACAUCGGAACAUGUCCUGUAGUGGGGGAUAGCCCGGCGAAAGCCGGAUUAAUACCGCAUACGAUCUACGGAUGACAGCGGGGGACCUUCGGGCCUCGCGCUAUAGGGUUGGCCGAUGGCUGAUUAGCUAGUUGGUGGGGUAAAGGCCUACCAAGGCGACGAUCAGUAGCUGGUCUGAGAGGACGACCAGUCACACUGGGACUGAGACACGGCCCAGACUCCUACGGGAGGCAGCAGUGGGGAAUUUUGGACAAUGGGCGAAAGCCUGAUCCAGCAAUGCCGCGUGUGUGAAGAAGGCCUUCGGGUUGUAAAGCACUUUUGUCCGGAAAGAAAUCCUUGGCUCUAAUACAGUCGGGGGAUGACGGUACCGGAAGAAUAAGCACCGGCUAACUACGUG
rnacentral:rRNA from 1 species